AUCUGCUCCAUGAUCUUCCUCAACUCAGAGUUGAGACUGACAGAAAUUAACAGUCUACAAAGGAUAAUGAGCUCAGUGAAUCUUAUUAACACAAGUUACAACUGACUGACAAAUCACUGCACAAAUGGCGAAGUGUUGCACUCAGGCAUGAAGAGAGUCAUUGAGCCCAACAGAAAAUGCUAGCAUUCAUUGCCAGAUGCACUGCUACUUCAGUGAGUCCCAGGAUACUCUAACACUUCUCAUAUACUAGUGACUUGGGUAGGGAAAUGUGAGAGAAAAUUUCGUUCCAUCUUCUCAGCUAUGACUUUAUUAAUUUCACCUCUAUGGUCAAGAAG